GCCGUGAUCGUAUAGUGGUUAGUACUCUGCGUUGUGGUCGCAGCAAACCCGGUUCGAAUCCGGGUCACGGCA
rnacentral:tRNA from 1 species